rfam:Helianthus annuus unplaced genomic scaffold HanXRQChr00c0272, whole genome shotgun sequence.
AGGAGCCGUAUGAGAUGAAAAUCUCAUGUACGGCUUCUGUAACGGAGAUUCUUUGAAUUGAAUGAACGACCGUAA